AAUCUAUGGUGUGGGCAUUUCUAAAUCCUUGUUUUAAAACAUUCUCAUGCUUCGUGAAAACUUUCUCAUUCUGAUUGUUGAAACAUAGAAAUUUCCUUUCUUAGCAG
rfam:Gossypium raimondii chromosome 4, whole genome shotgun sequence.